AUCGAACGCUGGCGGCAGGCCUAACACAUGCAAGUCGAACGGGUGGCGGACGGGUGAGUAAUGGCUGGGAAACUGCCUGACGGAGGGGGAUAACUACGGGAAACGGUAGCUAAUACCGCAUAACAUGCGAUGUGCCCAGAUGGGAUUAGCUAGUAGGUGGGGUAACGGCUCACCAAGGCGACGAUCCAUAGCUGGGCUGAGAGGAUGAUCGGACACACUGGGACUGAGACACGGUCCAGACUCCUACGGGAGGCAGCAGUAGGGAAUAUUCCACAAUGGACGCAAGCCUGAUGGAGCAAUGCCGCGUGUAUGAAGAAGGCCUUCGGGUUGUAAAGUACUGUCAGCGGGGAGGCGUUACCCGCAGAAGAAGCACCGGCUAACUCCGUGCCAGCAGCCGCGGUAAUAC
rnacentral:rRNA from 1 species